rnacentral:misc_RNA from 1 species
GAUGAAGAACGUAGCGAAAUGCGAUAAGUAGUGUGAAUUGCAGAAUUCAGUGAAUCAUCGAAUCUUUGAACGCACAUUGCGCCCCUUGGUAUUCCAUGGGGCAUGCCUGUUCGAGCGUCAUUUGUACCUUCAAGCUCUGCUUGGUGUUGGGUGUUUGUCUCGCCUCUGCGUGUAGACUCGCCUUAAAACAAUUGGCAGCCGGCGUAUUGAUUUCGGAGCGCAGUACAUCUCGCGCUUCGCACUCAUAACGACGACGUCCAAAAGUACAUUUUUACACUCUUGACCUCGGAUCAGGUAGGGAUACCCGCUGAACUUAAGCAUAUCAAUAAGCGGAGGA